AUAAGUAAAGCAAAUAACCUUGCAAUAAGUUUCGACCUUAUCUUUUUCACUACUAAAAAAUUGAAUACUUAUA
rnacentral:tRNA from 1 species